UAAAGGGUGUGCAGGGUUUAAAUAGGGAGUGAACAGGUGAACUCAAACAGGUAAAUGAGGCGUGAAUAAAGGGUGGAAGGAACCAAUCAGUGCUGAGGAAAAGGGGGAAAGGAAGUGAGGUAAAGGAAGUGAUGUACCUGAAUAUUUACAACACCUGGUGUCCUGCAUGGUCAUUUAGUCCCUGUGUUUUGUUUCUUUGUGUCUCUGUUGUGUAUCUGAAGCUUGCCUCUGUUCCCGGGUUUGGUUGUUGGUUCUGGAUUUUGGUUGUUGAGUUUUUUUGGUUUGUGUUUUUGCCUGAAUCUCCAGCUGCCUUUUUAAUUUUGUUUUGUUUUUUAUGUUUAAUCCUUUUAAUCCUUUGUGUCGAAGUCUGUGUUCCUUUGUGUUCAACCCCAGACAAGUUCUUUGGAGUGGUUACUGGUUCUUGAAGUCACCCUUUGCAGAAAUGUGACCUGAUGUUGAUAAAACAACAACAACAACAAAGGUGAAUUCUGAGGACACUUACCGCAACGUACUGUCUGACUACACAGAACAUUUCAUGAGGUUCAGAGUAAUGGCUUGGUUAGACACUGCGUGCAGGCCUCGUGGAACCACUGACCACAGCUUCCACACUGCAGCAUCUUCAGGUUCCACCUGCGGUCCGACACGGAAAAACAUCGAGAGACACAGAAAGAAACACAUGAAUGAAUGAACGUGUCCAACAUCUGUCACCACACAGAGUGUGAGACGGAGAGAUUAGCAGCCUGACCUUGGUCGCGACGGCAAAGACACAUUGCCGACAUAUCCACGAAUCGCUGUCAGCUUCCGGUUCGAUGGUUGGCGUGUGG